rnacentral:lncRNA from 1 species
UAUGGAUUUUGAAUUAGUGAAGUUUCAAAUUGGUGCUGGUGUGGGUUUUGUCGGGUUUUGUUUUGGGCGCGUUCGAGCAAUGAUUCCUGUCGCUUUCAUCUCAUCUGUUCGUUUUUAUAUGUAGCAUUUUUCAUGAACAGCAAGUCGAGGUUUGGUUUUCGAAAAACAGGCCGUUGUUCGAUGAGAAAAGUAAUUUUACUACGUGCCAAAUCUAACUUGUGAAAAUAAGUUAUACAGACCGGCGGUCCCUAAAAUAAGUGGCAAAGAAUUUGAUGGUUGGUAUUCGAAAUCCAAGUUCGAAUUCUAGUUGAUUCAUAUUUUCAACUAAGUUUAUUUUCAAAUGAAAUAGACGAAGCGGGUAGCGUGCUACCUAUUUCUCAAAAAAAAAAAAGAAAAGUUAUACAGCGGAAAAAUUAACAGAUGAAUAAGGACGACCGUGGGCCGAUCCACAGUCCGCCACAACAAGCCACAAUAUUUUGUUCUUUAAUUAUUGGCCAAAUUUCAAUUUGCCCACACAUACUUAGGGCUUACAAUCUAGCUUGUUAUUCACGAGCCAGCUCAUGUUCAGUUUGAAAUGAGAAUACGAGUUAAAUUUUUUAACUCAAAAAUCUUAACGAAUCAAACAAGAGCUGAAAUUUUCAGUUCGAUGUUUUAACAAAUCAGUUCGCAUUUGGCUCAUUUAAUAAAUGAACGAACAAGAUCCAGCCCUAGCUUGCUUAUGUUUGGCUGGUUAACAUUCCUAGAUAUAGUAUAGCGCAAUUUACUUUAUCAUCCUUUAAUUAAAAAAGCUAUAUUUAACUAUUUUGUACGUUCCAUUUAGGAUGUAUAUUUAAAUUCCACAAAAGAGAAUUUACAUUCAUUUUUCUGCCUAUGGUAGCGUUGCUUUUUUGGCAACAAGGUCGUUGCUCAAUAAAGUGUCCCCCUCUGUGGUUUCACAUUUUUUCAUUUUAGUACCUGUGGUUUAAAAUAUAUUAAGUUAGUAUUUUGUGAUUUUUCACUUUAUCACUUUAGUAUCCUGUGGUUUAAAAUGUAUCAAGUUAAUACCUGUGGUUUUGCACUUUAUCACUUUAGUAUUCUGUGGUUUCACACUUUAUCACUUUAGUAUUCUGUGAUUUAAAAAAUCACAUGGUACUAACUUGAUACAAAAUUAAAACCGCAGGGUACUAAAGUGAUAAAGUGUAAAACCACAGUGUACUAACUUAAUACACUUUAAACCACAGGGUACUAAAGUGAUAAAGUGAGAAACCACAGGGUACUAACUUGAUAUAUUUUAAAUCACAUGGUACUAAAAUGAAAAAAAUUAAAACCACAAAGGGGGUUUUUGAAGUU